rnacentral:sRNA from 1 species
UGGAAAUUGAUGCUCAGAGAAGAUCGUAC